rnacentral:rRNA from 1 species
UACAGAGGGGGCGAGCGUUGUUCGGAAUUACUGGGCGUAAAGCGUGCGCAGGCGGUUUGCUAAGACAGGUGUGAAAUCCCCGGGCUUAACCUGGGAACUGCGCUUGUUACUGGCAGGCUUGAGUGUGGCAGAGGGGGAUGGAAUUCCGCGUGUAGCAGUGAAAUGCGUAGAUAUGCGGAGGAACACCGAUGGCGAAGGCAAUCCCCUGGGCCUGCACUGACGCUCAUGCACGAAAGCGUGGGGAGCAAACAGG